CCCUUAGAUGUCCUGGGCCGCACGCGCGCUACACUGAGUGUCUGAGAUACGAGUCUGCCUGGUCCGGCAAGGUCUAGGUAAUCGCUAAAAGACACAUCAUGCUUGGGAUAGAUUAUUGCAAAUAUUAAUCUUGAACGAGGAAUUCCUAGUAAGCGCAAGUCAACAGCUUGCAUUGAUUACGUCCCUGCCCUUUGUACACACCGCCCGUCGCUACUACUGAUUGGAUGUUUAAGCGAGGUUCUCGAACUGCUAGCGACUUAGCUUCGGUGAGGUCGCAGUGUGGGAAGUGAACCUAGCUUUGGUGUCUAGAGGAAGUAAAAGUCGUAACA
rnacentral:rRNA from 1 species